GGCCCACAGCGCUGUCUCUGUUCACUGCCCCUGUGUGCCCGCUCUUUCUCAAUGAUCUUCCCCAGAGAGAAAGAGAACGACACCCCCGUCGGUCCCCGCUUGUCACCUUCCUCAAACAACCCUGUUCUCACCCAGAAAGCACAGUCUGGCAAAGCGAGCUGCUCGUGGCCCUGGCACAGGGCGCCAGGCCUGCAAUGGCAGCUCUGUCCCGACUUUCCCGGCCAGCGGCACAUCCACUUUGCACCCCGCUGUAACCCCACCUGAUGCCUGAGAACACUGAGGCCCAGGAGAGUCGAUGACAGGCCUGCAGUCCUGACAGAGCCAGUGCUCAGACCCUCAAGAUUCCUCAGCCUGGAUCUGUGACUUUCCCUAAGCUGCCUUCUUGUCCCCAUUCAAGGGGGUGCCCAAAGCCUUUGACUCUUAAUCUCUUCUCUAGCUUUGCAAUUCCAGGGACGACGCUGAGCUCAUCUGUAACCUUUAAGGGUUGGGAAGAAGUCACAGUCUCGCUCUGUCGCCUAGGCUCCAGUGCAAUGGCGAGAUCUCGGCUCACUGAAACCUCCACCUCCCGAGUUCAAGCAAUUCUCCUGAAUAGCUGAGAUUACAGGCACGCGCCACCACCCACAGCUAAUUUUUGUAUUUUUAGUAGAGACGGGGUUUCACCACGUUGGCCAGACUGGUCUUGAACUCCUGAUCAAGUGAUCCGCCCACCUCAGCCUCCCAGAGUGCUGAAAUUACAGGCAUGAGCCACCCCACCUGGCCCUGAAUAAAU
rnacentral:lncRNA from 1 species